rnacentral:rRNA from 1 species
AUUGAACGCUGGCGGCAUGCUUUACACAUGCGAGUCGAACGGUAACAGGCCUUCGGGUGCUGACGAGUGGCGCACGGGUGAGUAAUGCAUCGGAACGUACCCAGAGGUGGGGGAUAACGCAGCGAAAGCUGUGCUAAUACCGCAUGUGAUCUGAGGAUGAAAGCGGGGGACCGAGCAGCAAUGUUUGGCCUCGCGCCUUUGGAGCGGCCGAUGUCGGAUUAGCUAGUUGGUGGGGUAAAGGCCUACCAAGGCGACGAUCCGUAGCUGGUCUGAGAGGACGACCAGCCACACUGGGACUGAGACACGGCCCAGACUCCUACGGGAGGCAGCAAUGGGGAAUUUUGGACAAUGGGCGCAAGCCUGAUCCAGCAAUGCCGCGUGCGGGAAGAAGGCCUUCGGGUUGUAAACCGCUUUUGGCAGGAACGAAACGGUGUCCGCUAAUACCGGGCGCUAAUGACGGUACCUGCAGAAUAAGCACCGGCUAACUACGUG